GUGUUCUUGCAUUAUUAUGCCUUAAUUACCAUUAUAAUACCGGAACUGGUCUGAAAACAGCAAUAUUAUAGUUUAUCACAGUAGUGAACAAUAACUGAGUCUAUAUUUUAAAAUGUUUUCUGCUGCUGAGUGUUGAUCAGCAACCGAGUCAAAUAUCAGAACCUGAAAAUUAACCAAAUAUGAAAAAAAUAAAACUAUUUGACCAAUAAAAACUAAACAAUAUUUAACUUAUAAUAACUAAUAAAAAUGUGCAAACACACUGAAAUGAAACUAAAGUGUAAUGAAAGCCCAGAAGUACCCCCGGUUCUGAUGGGCUCUCCGGGUCGGAGCGAUUCCCGGCUCGGCCAGCAGGUGGAUUCCUUCUCCUUGUUUUCCAGAGGAAACGUUUCCUGAGAGGAGAACUGGUUCUGGUUCCGAGUGGCUCUGGGUCGUGGGGAUUUUGGUGGUAACCGGAUCCCAGCCGGGAAUCAGUCAGGUUCUGUUCGGACCUGCGGCUCUUUGGAACAAAGCUUUUCUCUUCAGCUCACAGAUUUUCAUCUUUUUGUGUUUCUGGUUUUUUUCUGUAACUGAAUCUGAGCUGAGAGGGACAUCAGAGAGUCCUGACGUCUUCCUGCCAGUCUUUGUCCCCCGUCCUCCCCUCAGACAGGUGUGUCUCCUCUCAGAUAUGUCCCUGGUUUUCAUGGCCAAUCACCUCCUCAGCAGCCAUGAAGUUCUGCGGAGGUCCGCUACUGAACCAGUCGUUACAUUCAGACGUAAACCCAGUCCCGUCUGUGGAUGUUCUGACGGCGUUUCAGCCAAUAAACAACCUUAAAUCUGGAUGCAGAGAUGGACCUGAACCUGCAGAGCCACAUAAAGACGGCUACAAAGUCGGCCUUCUAUCACCUGAAGGACAUUUCCAGGAUUAAAGAACGAAUUUCCCACAAGAUCUAGAGAAGCUCGUCCAUCUUUAGCUGCACUGAUCACUGCAACAGAAUCUACAAACGUCAACCUGACAGCCGGCUGCCCCAAGGGACAGCCGGUCCCCCAGGGGACAGCCGGUCCCCCAGGGGACAGCCGGUCCCCCAGGGGACCCGUAUCCAUCUCAGCGCUGCGGUAAUUCGUCUGGAAGUCGGGAAGCAGAGGAGCAGACGCCAACGGUAUGCGGCCGAGUCCAACACGGAAACUUUCUGAGUCAGUGGAGCAGCCAAAGCCGUCCGGUCCGGACAGAACUAUCAGCGUCUGGAUCGGCUCGACCCGAUCCAGACGUUUACAUCACACUGCUCUGCUGCUCAGCUCCAGGUGAGCUGAUGCCAGAAUAUCCUAUCCUGACCAAACAGCUGCAGAUAAGGAGACUUC